rnacentral:lncRNA from 1 species
GAAAGUCUGAUCCUGAGUCGAAAAGAAAAAUAUUGCUUGAACAUGCUAGAAUAACGGCCGGAGCCUUGGAUCUGUAGAUCUGAGAAAGACCUAAGGAGAAACAUUAAAUUCGGGCUUCAAAACAUCGAGUAGCUUAGGUUUAAUGGUGAGAAAGAGUGAGUACAUGCCAUCCAUGGCCUAGAAUGCCAUGGAUCCCAGUGGAAUCAUGGUGGAAUGAGGUGGGAAUCGAUUAGGAUUUAGGAGAGGCUAGAGAGAGUUUGAGAGAUGAAGGGGGUUCAAAGGCG